AUACUCCUUCUCUACCUACUUC
rnacentral:siRNA from 1 species